rnacentral:rRNA from 1 species
UUAAGUUAUUAAGGGCGCACGGUGGAUGCCUUGGCACUAGAAGCCGAUGAAGGACGUUACUAACGACGAUAUGCUUUGGGGAGCUGUAAGUAAGCUUUGAUCCAGAGAUUUCCGAAUGGGGAAACCCAGCAUGAGUUAUGUCAUGUUAUCGAUAUGUGAAUACAUAGCAUAUCAGAAGGCACACCCGGAGAACUGAAACAUCUUAGUACCCGGAGGAAGAGAAAGAAAAUUCGAUUCCCUUAGUAGCGGCGAGCGAAACGGGAAGAGCCCAAACCAACAAGCUUGCUUGUUGGGGUUGUAGGACACUCUAUACGGAGUUACAAAGGACGACAUUAGACGAAUCAUCUGGAAAGAUGAAUCAAAGAAGGUAAUAAUCCUGUAGUCGAAAAUGUUGUCUCUCUUGAGUGGAUCCUGAGUACGACGGAGCACGUGAAAUUCCGUCGGAAUCUGGGAGGACCAUCUCCUAAGGCUAAAUACUCUCUAGUGACCGAUAGUGAACCAGUACCGUGAGGGAAAGGUGAAAAGCACCCCGGAAGGGGAGUGAAAUAGAACCUGAAACCGUGUGCUUACAAGUAGUCAGAGCCCGUUAAUGGGUGAUGGCGUGCCUUUUGUAGAAUGAACCGGCGAGUUACGAUUUGAUGCAAGGUUAAGCAGUAAAUGUGGAGCCGUAGCGAAAGCGAGUCUGAAUAGGGCGUUUAGUAUUUGGUCGUAGACCCGAAACCAGGUGAUCUACCCUUGGUCAGGUUGAAGUUCAGGUAACACUGAAUGGAGGACCGAACCGACUUACGUUGAAAAGUGAGCGGAUGAACUGAGGGUAGCGGAGAAAUUCCAAUCGAACCUGGAGAUAGCUGGUUCUCUCCGAAAUAGCUUUAGGGCUAGCCUCAAGUGAUGAUUAUUGGAGGUAGAGCACUGUUUGGACGAGGGGCCCCUCUCGGGUUACCGAAUUCAGACAAACUCCGAAUGCCAAUUAAUUUAACUUGGGAGUCAGAACAUGGGUGAUAAGGUCCGUGUUCGAAAGGGAAACAGCCCAGACCACCAGCUAAGGUCCCAAAAUAUAUGUUAAGUGGAAAAGGAUGUGGCGUUGCCCAGACAACUAGGAUGUUGGCUUAGAAGCAGCCAUCAUUUAAAGAGUGCGUAAUAGCUCACUAGUCGAGUGACACUGCGCCGAAAAUGUACCGGGGCUAAACAUAUUACCGAAGCUGUGGAUUGUCCUUUGGACAAUGGUAGGAGAGCGUUCUAAGGGCGUUGAAGCAUGAUCGUAAGGACAUGUGGAGCGCUUAGAAGUGAGAAUGCCGGUGUGAGUAGCGAAAGACGGGUGAGAAUCCCGUCCACCGAUUGACUAAGGUUUCCAGAGGAAGGCUCGUCCGCUCUGGGUUAGUCGGGUCCUAAGCUGAGGCCGACAGGCGUAGGCGAUGGAUAACAGGUUGAUAUUCCUGUACCACCUAUAAUCGUUUUAAUCGAUGGGGGGACGCAGUAGGAUAGGCGAAGCGUGCGAUUGGAUUGCACGUCUAAGCAGUAAGGCUGAGUAUUAGGCAAAUCCGGUACUCGUUAAGGCUGAGCUGUGAUGGGUAGAAGACAUUGUGUCUUCGAGUCGUUGAUUUCACACUGCCGAGAAAAGCCUCUAGAUAGAAAAUAGGUGCCCGUACCGCAAACCGACACAGGUAGUCAAGAUGAGAAUUCUAAGGUGAGCGAGCGAACUCUCGUUAAGGAACUCGGCAAAAUGACCCCGUAACUUCGGGAGAAGGGGUGCUCUUUAGGGUUAACGCCCAGAAGAGCCGCAGUGAAUAGGCCCAAGCGACUGUUUAUCAAAAACACAGGUCUCUGCUAAACCGUAAGGUGAUGUAUAGGGGCUGACGCCUGCCCGGUGCUGGAAGGUUAAGAGGAGUGGUUAGCUUCUGCGAAGCUACGAAUCGAAGCCCCAGUAAACGGCGGCCGUAACUAUAACGGUCCUAAGGUAGCGAAAUUCCUUGUCGGGUAAGUUCCGACCCGCACGAAAGGCGUAACGAUUUGGGCACUGUCUCAACGAGAGACUCGGUGAAAUCAUAGUACCUGUGAAGAUGCAGGUUACCCGCGACAGGACGGAAAGACCCCGUGGAGCUUUACUGUAGCCUGAUAUUGAAAUUCGGCACAGCUUGUACAGGAUAGGUAGGAGCCUUUGAAACGUGAGCGCUAGCUUACGUGGAGGCGCUGGUGGGAUACUACCCUAGCUGUGUUGGCUUUCUAACCCGCACCACUUAUCGUGGUGGGAGACAGUGUCAAGCGGGCAGUUUGACUGGGGCGGUCGCCUCCUAAAAGGUAACGGAGGCGCUCAAAGGUUCCCUCAGAAUGGUUGGAAAUCAUUCAUAGAGUGUAAAGGCAUAAGGGAGCUUGACUGCGAGACCUACAAGUCGAGCAGGGUCGAAAGACGGACUUAGUGAUCCGGUGGUUCCGCAUGGAAGGGCCAUCGCUCAACGGAUAAAAGCUACCCCGGGGAUAACAGGCUUAUCUCCCCCAAGAGUUCACAUCGACGGGGAGGUUUGGCACCUCGAUGUCGGCUCAUCGCAUCCUGGGGCUGUAGUCGGUCCCAAGGGUUGGGCUGUUCGCCCAUUAAAGCGGUACGCGAGCUGGGUUCAGAACGUCGUGAGACAGUUCGGUCCCUAUCCGUCGUGGGCGUAGGAAAUUUGAGAGGAGCUGUCCUUAGUACGAGAGGACCGGGAUGGACAUACCUCUGGUGUACCAGUUGUCGUGCCAACGGCAUAGCUGGGUAGCUAUGUGUGGACGGGAUAAGUGCUGAAAGCAUCUAAGCAUGAAGCCCCCCUCAAGAUGAGAUUUCCCAACUUCGGUUAUAAGAUCCCUCAAAGAUGAUGAGGUUAAUAGGUUCGAGGUGGAAGCAUGGUGACAUGUGGAGCUGACGAAUACUAAUCGAUCGAAGACUUAAUCAA